GAGUUUGAUCGUGGCUCAGAUUGAACGCUGGCGGUAUGCUUAACACAUGCAAGUCGGACGGCAGCAUGGUGUGUAGCAAUACACACUGAUGGCGAGUGGCGGACGGGUGAGAAACGCGUAGGAAUCUGCCUUAUAGAGGGGGACAACUAGAGGAAACUCUAGCUAAUACCGCAUAAAGUCGAGAGACCAAAGGCUGGGUAGAAAUACCUGGCGCUAUGAGAGGAGCCUGCGUCCGAUUAGCUAGUUGGUGGGGUAAAGGCCUACCAAGGCGAUGAUCGGUAGCUGGUCUGAGAGGAUGAUCAGCCACACUGGGACUGAGACACGGCCCAGACUCCUACGGGAGGCAGCAGUGGGGAAUAUUGGACAAUGGGGGCAACCCUGAUCCAGCCAUGCCGCGUGUGUGAAGAAGGCCUUC
rnacentral:rRNA from 1 species